GAGGUUUGAAAAAACUGACCUAAGACAGUAGGGGAGCUGGACUCAUAAACAUCCUACCGAGGCACAAAACGAUUAUUGAGAUAAACGUAUUUGUACUUUCGUGUCUAGGUUUAGGUGCGAUUUUUUUGUGCCUAG
rfam:Streptococcus suis 05ZYH33, complete genome.